CUCUUAUCCAGAGAGGCGGAGGGACCGGCCCGAUGAAGCCUCGGCAACCUCCGGUGCAGGGUAAGACGUUCAGGUGCUGAGACUGGCGUCAGUGACGAUGCCUCCUCACUCCAGGCAACCUGAGCAUCUUGUUCACACUGGAAGGUGCCAAUUCCGGCAGAGUAUAUCUGGAAGAUGAGAG
rnacentral:ncRNA from 2 species